rnacentral:rRNA from 1 species
GACGAACGUUGGCGGCGUGCUUAAUACAUGCAAGUCAACUGAAGCAGUGGUAGCAAUAUCGCUGUGGAGGGGGCGCACGGGUGAGUAACACGUAGGUAAUCUGCCUUCAGGUUUGGCAUAACUCCGGGAAACCGGGGCUAAUAGCAGAUGAUGCAGCGGCUCGACAUCGAGACAGUUGUUAAAGCUAUGGCGCCUGAAGAUGAGCCUGCGUCUGAUUAGCUAGUUGGCGGGGUAACGGCCCACCAAGGCAACGAUCAGUAGCUGGUCUGAGAGGAUGAUCAGCCACACUGGAACUGAGACACGGUCCAGACUCCUACGGGAGGCAGCAGUAAGGAAUAUUGCUCAAUGGGAGAAAUCCUGAAGCAGCAACGCCGCGUGAGGGACGAAGGGCUUUUGCUUGUAAACCUCUGUAGGGAGAGAAAAAAAUCCCAAUCUUUGGGACAUGAUGGUAUCUCAAAAGUAAGCCCCGGCUAACUACGUG